GAAUCUAAGGGGAGCACGUAUACUAAAACUGGAAUGAUUCAGAGGGGUUCUGCAUGGUCCCUGUGCAAGGAGGAAAUGCAAAUUCCUGAAGUGUCCCAUACUCAA
ensembl:snRNA U6 U6 spliceosomal RNA